rnacentral:rRNA from 1 species
UUCCCCUACGGGGCGCAGCAGUGAGGAAUAUUGGUCAAUGGACGAGAGUCUGAACCAGCCAAGUAGCGUGAAGGAUGACUGCCCUAUGGGUUGUAAACUUCUUUUAUAUGGGAAUAAAAUGUUCCACGUGUGGGAUUUUGUAUGUACCAUAUGAAUAAGGAUCGGCUAACUCCGUGCCAGCAGCCGCGGUAAUACGGAGGAUGCGAGCGUUAUCCGGAUUUAUUGGGUUUAAAGGGUGCGUAGGCGGGCUGUUAAGUCAGCGGUAAAAGCCCGGGGCUCAACCCCGGCGAGCCGUUGAAACUGGC